rnacentral:rRNA from 1 species
UACGUAGGUCCCGAGCGUUGUCCGGAUUUAUUGGGCGUAAAGCGAGCGCAGGUGGUUUAUUAAGUCUGGUGUAAAAGGCAGUGGCUCAACCAUUGUAUGCAUUGGAAGCUGGUAGACUUGAGUGCAGGAGAGGAGAGUGGAAUUCCAUGUGUAGCGGUGAAAUGCGUAGAUAUAUGGAGGAACACCGGUGGCGAAAGCGGCUCUCUGGCCUGUAACUGACACUGAGGCCCGAAAGCGUGGGGAGCAAACAGG